rnacentral:rRNA from 1 species
UUAGGCGGCUUGCUGGGUCUUUACUGACGCUGAGGCACGAAAGCGUGGGGAGCAAACAGGAUUAGAUACCCUGGUAGUCCACGCCGUAAACGAUGAGUACUAAGUGUCGGGAUUACUCGGUACUGAAGUUUAACACAUUAAAGUAACUCCGCCUGAGUAGUACGGACCGCAAAGAAUGGAAAACCCAU